GCCUUCAUGGUGUAAUGGUCAGCACACUGAGCCGGUAUUUCAGAGGUCCGCGGUUCGAUCCCCGGCGAAGGAA
rnacentral:tRNA from 1 species